CGCCUCUUGCUAAAAAACAUGUAUAAGAGGUCCAGCCUGCCCAGUGACUAUAUGUUCAACGGCCGCGGUAUUCUGACCGUGCAAAGGUAGCGUAAUCACUUGUCUUUUAAAUAAAGACUGGUAUGAACGGCACCACGAAGGUUCAACUGUCUCCUGCAUCUGAUCCAUUAAACUGACCUCCCCGUGCAGAGGCGGGGAUACAACCAUAAGACGAGAAGACCCUAUGGAGCUUUAAACUAAAGGCAACUGCCAACUAUAAUCAUACCCGUAAGGAAUUAAUAAUAAAACAAGCAGAAAUUGACCUAAAGUUUUCGGUUGGGGCGACCACGGAGAAUAAAAAAUCCUCCUUGAAGAAUAGGGCCUACCACCCUUAACCAAGAACCACCAUUCUAAGUAACAAAAUUUAUGACUACAAUUGAUCCAGUCUUACUGAUCAACGAACCAAGUUACCCUAGGGAUAACAGCGCAAUCCAUUUCAAAAGUUCCUAUCGACAAAUGGGUUUACGACCUCGAUGUUGGAUCAGGGCAUCCCAGUGGUGCAGCCGCUACUAAAGGUUCGUUUGUUCAACGAUUAAAGCCCU
rnacentral:rRNA from 1 species